rnacentral:lncRNA from 1 species
GAGAAAAAUAGAAUGUAAUGGAAUAGAAUUUAAUGGGGGCCAAAUAGGGGCUAUAUUGGAGAUUCCAUGCCUUAAUUUAACUAUAAUUUGCUUUAUUAACAGGUCUAGAUAUUUGAAUGAGAACUCAGUGAACUUCCAAAACAGCAUGAAUGAUCUUGAAAGCCAAUUGCAGGAGUUGUUUAAUGAAGUAAAAACUAUGAUUCAAUUGGGAAAGGAAAAUGAUGCAGUUGAUUUACUUGAGGCGAAUUAUGAAGCUGUUAAAGAACAAAUGGCUUCAGGUGCUACAGACAUAGAAGAAGCUGCUAUUCUUGAUGUAAUAGCCUUGGGGUACAUGGUUCUUGGAGACUUGCAGACUGUUGGGUCAAUAUUAGACGUGGUAAUAUAUCUUGCAACAUAUCUAGGUACAAUAUUUCUGCAUUCUUUAUAUAAAAUUUUCAAUUAUAUGAAGCCAGGUUUAAUCCAUAAACAUAUUUCCUUGAAUGCGGUUACUCAAAAAAAUGAGAGAGAGAGAGAGAGAGAGAGAGAGAAGUUUCAUCUGGAUUUUAAUUGAUAAAGUGAGCUUCUUCAUAUUCAACUAGUCUAUUUUUUUUUUUGAUAGAAAACAUUUCUGUUCAUGCAACUUGGAGAUUUGUGUAAACUGAAGAUGAGAUUUUUUAUUUUUAAGUAAAAUUUUUAUGGUUAUCUCUGCUUCCCUUUGUUCUGUGAUGGAAUUCUUUUUAAGCAACCUUGCCAUCUUAUUCUGGAUUAUAAUACUUUCUUUAGUUUUGUACUUUUUGACAAUAUUUGUCCUGAGGAUCUAUUAAAUGUGAAUCCAGUUGAACAAGAUUGUAAAUAGGUUAAAGGAUCAGGAACCUCUUCUGGAUUCGAUACUCAUGCAUAUGGGAAGCAUGUAUGACAAGCUGGAAAAGUUUGAGCUGUCCAUUGGUUUCUACCAGAGAUCCCUUCAAAUUAUGGAAAGAACAUAUGGUAGGUUCAACUUUGAUAUUUUAUUCACGUUAAUUCUACUAAUUAAUGGGGGUUUCUUCUUCUGUCAUGGUUGCUUUAUUGUUUGUGUUUGUUGAGGGUGAGGGUGGUGCUUACUUUUAAAUAGGAUGUAGGAUAUUCUUCCAUUUUGUCAUCCAGUUUUGGGUUUUCUGGAUACAAUGGAACAGGUUUCAGUAUUUUGGUUAGAUGGCUAAUCAAAUAACCAUUCAUAUAAAUUCUAUCAAAUAACCGUUCAUAUAAACUCUCUUAACCAAUUUGUUUAAAACAGCCACCAUACCAAAUCUAUGUUUUCUACUGUCAUGUAGGAAACAACAGCUCAUUUCUUACCAUGCUGUUGCUGGGGAUGGCUAAAGUGCUUGGUUCUAUGGGAAGAGCUAGUGAGGCAAUGGAAACAUACCAGCGUGUGAUUACGCUAUUGGAAUCUAGUAGGGGUGGGGAAAAUGAGGAAUUGGCAGUGCCAUUAUUGGCACUGGGCAAUCUUUUAAUGAAGGAAGGAAGAGCACCAGAUGCUGAAAGCCCUUUCGAUAGGUUAAUACUUUUUAUCCUGUAUAGUAUUUGGUUAUUAUGGAUUCUUUGCUUGCUGAUCAUUACCUUUUACAUUCUUACCUUUUGCCUGCAUUAUCCAGAAUCCUAAGCAUUUAUGUGAAUACAUAUGGAGAAAAAGAUGGAAGAGUUGGAUUGGCUAUGUGCUCCCUGGCACAGGUGAAAUGUGCAAAAGGUGAAUUUCUAUGUUACAUUCUUUACACACACACAAACACACACACAUUUCUCUCGAUUCAAAUUUUCAUUUGACGAUUAUAGGUUAGUUGCGUAUUUUGUUGGUAUUUUGUACUGAUCUGGGAACAUGAAAAUAAAAAUUGUCUCUUGUCUGACAUAAAUAAUAUCAAUUUUUCCUGUUUUUGUUCUUUUUGGAGGAUAACUUUGGAGUUACCAUGUCAGAUGAUGGUUUCACUAUGUAUAAUAAUGUAAAUAGAAGAGUAAGUGGCAAAUUUAGGUUCAAUUCAUUGAAUUGUGGCAUAGGAAUUCAUUUUUGAUACCCGAAAGAAAAGGAGAAAAAAGAUGUAUGAUGAACGCCCUAUUUAUUUGCUUCUUUAUUCUUUAAUGUUUUCCCCUUUGGACAGGCCAAAAGAGAGAAUCCAUUAAAAACUAUAAAGCACCCAAGCUAUUGUAGAAUAGUGUAGGCUACAAGAAGUUUCAUACGUGAAAUCUUAGCGUCAUCAUCUUGGCCUCCUUCCUAAUAAUGUCCACCUAAAGUCUUCUACAUUACCGUGUUUUGAUCCUGUGCGGCCUUCUGUAGGAGAAGUGAAUGAAGCCAUUGAUCUAUACAAGAAGGCCAUUCAAAUCCUUGAGGAUUCAAAAUACAUGGAAUUGGAUGACAUUGUAAUGGAACAGAUGAGAGUAGACUUGGCUGAAUUACUUCAUGUAACUGGAAGGUAAGAAAUAUCCCAACUGUUGGGUGUCUCUCAUUGUCUCCUCAUUAUAAUUUUUUAAUAGAUUUCCCUGAGCAUUUUGUGCACUGAGUUUUUUAAGUGUAUAAAUUGUAGGAAGAUGUCUUAAAACCAUUUAGAGUGAGCACUUAAGUUUGUUAUGUCAGAAUGUAGAGGCUAUUAAGAGUAUGAUAUUGGUUGUUGAAUUAGUAUACAUUAAGAUUGUGUUUGAGCCAUCCACCCCAUUUUUUUUUUUUUUUUUGUAAAAAAUGUGUUUUGUGAUAGUAUUUUUUGAGAUGUGGUUAAAUUUAUUUGUUUGUUUAUUUAUUUAUUUAUGAUAAAAAAAUGUGUUUUGUGAUAGUAUUUUUUGCGAUGUGGUUAAAAAGUAGGCAACAGCUGGUGUUGGUCACACAGUAUUACAGUCUUCUUUAAUUUUGUUUAUUUUAUUUUUAUGAAACCUAGUCCUUUUAAUUCUAUUUUUGAUAAAACACAGAGGAGAAGAAGGCCGAGCCAUUCUGGAGAAAUGCUUGUUAAUAAAUGAGAAGUAUAAAGGAAAAGAACAUCCCAGCUCAGUACCACUUCUUGUAAAUCUUGCAACUUCCUAUUCACGCUACAAGAAUUUUGUAGAAGCUGAGCGCUUGCUGAGCAUAAGUUUGCAAAUUAUGAUGAAGACUGUGCCCCCCGAUGAUCAGUCCCUCACAUUCCCGAUGUUACAUCUUGCCAUCACUCUGUACAAUCUAAAUCGAGAUGAAGAAGCUGAAAAACUUGCUCUCGAUGUUCUGCACAUUCGUGAGAAGGCAUUUGGAAGAGAAUCUCUACCAACUGGUAAUUUUCUUGUUGUGCAGUUGCUUGCUGUAUGCUGGAUUACAUAUCAUGUUUGCUAAGCUUAAAUGUUACUUUUCUAGAAAGUGACCUACUUUCUAGAAAAGUUUUGUUAGCAUAAAAAUCAACUUGUAAAUUAUGUUUGGCAAGAAAGAAGCUUAAAAAGUAACUCUUACUUCUUUUUAAGCUUAGCCAAACACGCUCAUACCUCCUAUAUGCGACAUUGAGAGAUGAUUUUAUCAUGUGAAUUCUUUUGAAAGUUUGACAUUUUGAUCCAUCAGAAAUUUGACUAGAGGUUGGUACAUUCAACGCACUUUCAGCAGUUGCCUUGAGAUCUAAUUCUGUUAACUCAGAGUCAUUAUAUAGUGGCUUAGUUUCUUAUUUAAACUAUGCUUCUGUGCAUUCCUUGUCCAUAUUGUUUUCACGCUUUUGUUUCGUGAAUUUGUGAAACAGGAGAGGCUCUUGACUGUUUGGUCUCUAUUCAGUCACGAUCAGGGAAGGACGACAGUGAGUUGUUGGAGCUGCUCAAGAGGGUUCUGAGAAUUCAGGAGAAAGCUUUUGGCCACGAGGGUGAGGAGGUCAUGGAAACCCUCAAGAAAAUUGUACAUUACAUGGACAAAAUGGGUAUGAAUAACGAGAAACGUCCAUUGCAAAGAAGAUUAUCCAUUUUGAGAAACAAACACAAGAAAAUGGUUAGGUAUUGACAACAGUGGCUUAUUGAGUUGGAUAUUUCUUGUUUUCUUGCAAUGGAGCGAAUCCUAGAUCCUUGGCUGUUUUGAUGUCACGAACAAUGAUGAAAAGUUUUAUGGCAAGAGUAAGCAGCCAGUAUUCAGCAUUUUUGAUAAUGAACAUUGAGGUACUUGGCAACUCAAAUCAUGCAUCUUUUGAUAGUUUAUAGCAUGCUUAAUUUUCUUGAUAUUCUUCAUGUUCUUAGUUAAUCGAUAAAAUCUUGCCUGUUUUACCUUGUCCUUAAAAGGAGAUGCCUUAUUGACUUUUGGGAAUUAUUCGUGAUUUUAGUCAAAGAAACGUUUUCACAUUCAUUUUAAGAAAAUUACAUUAGAAAAACAAUUUGAAGAAAAUUCUACCAUCUUGGUUGUAGGCUUGUAACGACCUUGCCAUAACCUUUGUUCAGACCGUGGACAUAAUAAAUGCUUAUAUACAUACAUAAAUAUAUAUAUAUAUAUACGGUCUAGAUCAUUUAGAUCACCAUAUCCGCAUCCAAACACACCCCAAUAAAGGUAUUAAUAGAUCUACACCAGUGGAUUAGCUUAAAGGGUUGUGAUUAUUUGUCAAAUUCAUUGGUAUAUAUAUGUGCGUGUGCGCGCGUGACUCACUUCUCUUCUUAUUUUGACCGGUUCUUAAGGAGUAUCGAAGCACUAGUCACUAGAUGUGCAUUUCACUCAUUUCUUCUUUGCUUUAUCAAUAUUUUGUGACAGGAAUGGAACUCAUAAAAGUUGCUUGUUCAAUAUCAAUGAUGAGAAUAAACAGCUUGAAGUAUAACUGAACAGCUUGCGAAAUGUGCGUCUCCACUUCAGGUAUAUGUAACAAUUGAUCAAGGCGAUCUCCAUCAGCAAGCAAAUAUUUAGCUGGACCUGAAAAUUCCAGUUUUGUCCACAUACUUGUCGAAUUAACUCCUGGUAUCCUCUGCCCCAUAAGCAUCAAAUGCUACUGCCCAUGUCAAAGGAAUCAUCUUUGAUGAUGUGAACUUCAGUGCUAUCUAUCUUUGACAGCCCAGGAGGUAUUCCCAAGUAAUUCGCUUUUAGGGACGAAUGUGUAGUUGUUUAUUAAGCGUUUUGAUGUUAUCUUUGACAUGAUGUCUGUUUUCGUGAAGCGUUUUGAUGUUAUCAACUUGCAAUAUAAGUAUGUUGGGGAUUGUUUAUUUUGAAGUAUUUUGAAUAUAAUGUGCAAUUAAUUUUAACUCCUUUCUUUGUACUUGUAAGGGUAGAAAGUAAGUAUUUUGAAUACUUGGCUUAAACAGUUGAAGAGUGUUUACAACCAGUUUUCCUUAUUCGUCAUCUUUUGUUUCAUGCAAUUGUUGUGAAAUACUCGCUUCAUUUUCUAUCUUAUUUUGGGUUAUACACAGAUACACUUGAAUGUUCAAAGAUAAUUGGACUAUAUUGAAGGGCUUGAGAGCCAGCUAUGUCUAGUUAUCCUCGAUAUUUUUUCGAGGGGUGGGG